GACGAACGCUGGCGGCGUGCCUAAUACAUGCAAGUAGAACGCUGAAGGAGGAGCUUGCUCUUCUGGAUGAGUUGCGAACGGGUGAGUAACGCGUAGGUAACCUGCCUGGUAGCGGGGGAUAACUAUUGGAAACGAUAGCUAAUACCGCAUAAGAGUAGAUGUUGCAUGACAUUUGCUUAAAAGGUGCAAUUGCAUCACUACCAGAUGGACCUGCGUUGUAUUAGCUAGUUGGUGGGGUAACGGCUCACCAAGGCGACGAUACAUAGCCGACCUGAGAGGGGGAUCGGCCACACUGGGACUGAGACACGGCCCAGACUCCUACGGGAGGCAGCAGUAGGGAAUCUUCGGCAAUAGACGGAAGUCUGACCGAGCAACGCCGCGGGAGUGAAGAAGGUUUUCGGAUCGUAAAGCUCUGUUGUAAGAGAAGAACGAGUGUGAGAGUGGAAAGUUCACACUGUGACGGUAUCUUACCAGAAAGGGACGGCUAACUACGUG
rnacentral:rRNA from 1 species